CCUAUCAAAUAUAAUCUAAUAUUUGAGCGUGAAUUAAGAUGCGCUCGUUAAACUGGGUGAAUUGCUGGAAAGCUAAGCUUAAAAUAAGUAUGCUAAUCAGCAGCCAAGUCUGGGAAUGGCAUAAAGUUACUAGAAAGGUUCAGAGACUAGAGGGAUGAGUAGCCAAACAAUAACUUCCUCCACGAGUGCCCAGCUCAAUAGACUAAUUGUUUGUUGAGAUGAUAUAGUCCAAUCUGAGUUAGAAUUAACUAA
rnacentral:ncRNA from 1 species